GAGGGUGUAGUUCAGUGGUAGAGCGCAUGCCUAGCAUGCAUGAGGUCCUGGGUUCAAUCCCUAGUACCUCCA
rnacentral:tRNA from 1 species